UACGGGGGGGGCAAGCGUUGUUCGGAAUUACUGGGCGUAAAGGGCUCGUAGGCGGCCAACUAAGUCAGACGUGAAAUCCCUCGGCUUAACCGGGGAACUGCGUCUGAUACUGGAUGGCUUGAGGUUGGGAGAGGGAUGCGGAAUUCCAGGUGUAGCGGUGAAAUGCGCAGAUAUCAGGAGGAACACCGGUGGCGAAGGCGGGUCUCGUGGGCCGAUACUGACGCUGAGGAGCGAAAGCGUGGGGAGCGAACAGG
rnacentral:rRNA from 1 species